UCCUAGUUGUAGUCAUUCUAGUUCUACUAUGUGGGAUGCCACCACAGCAUGGCCUGAUGAGUGGUGUGUAGGUCCAUGCCCAGGAUCCGAACUGGUAAACCCUGGGCCUCUGAAGUAGAUUGCAUGAACUUAACCACUCGGCCAGGGGGCCGGCCCCAGACACCUAUGGAGUGUUCUUGUUUUCAAGACUCUGAAAGCUGACCCUAGAAGAAUCGAAUAGUUAGGAUCCUCUCCAAAGGAGUUAUUGCAGACACUCCUAGAUGCAGUCUUUGGAUCCACACGCUGAACCUAGAUGAGGAAUUCGAUGCUGCUGUUCUUAUUGAGCUAAUAGAACUGGAAUCACAUAUACUGUGGCCACAAAAUGUGAUGAACAGACUAGACUGAAUCUACAGGCUCCUCCGUGAUGCUAAGAAGGCAUUUCGUGCACUUUAGGGAAGAGUUCGCCCACGGUCCUGGAGUAUAGAAGAGAAAAUGAUUGAAAGUGGUCAAAUGGAAAUUCAGCAUAUCUUCCUAGAGGAACUGUUAGAUUUUGACCUGGAGAGGGCCGAGGAUAGGCUGUCUGUUUCCUCCAACGUGCGGCCUCCUUCUCCCCAUUCCUCUGUGAUUCACAGCAACCCUCGGCAGUGGCUCAGAGAGUGAACUGAUGGCGGACACAUAUGAAACAUUCUCUCACAUGGAUUAGUGGCAACCCAGGACAGUGUAGGGCCACAUGGUUGAGGGGUGUGUGUGUGUAUGUGUGUGCGCACAGAAGGGGGGUGUGUUGGGAUGAUUGGUAUUGCCUGCCAUCUAAUCAUAGUAUCUUUAUUUAUAGAAUAGCCACACUCCUAAAGAAUGUUUAAUGUAUAAUUAGUGAAAAAGCAUAAGAUUUAGACUGACCAGGGUUUAAAUUCUAGCUCCAUUACUUUGUUGUGCAUGUGUGUGUAUGAGAGAGAGAGAGGGAGAGAGAGGAAGAUCCAAGGAAAUUAAUUUGAUUUCUGUGAGUCUCAGUUUCCUCCUCUACACAUUUAUGGUAGUAACUAUGUCAUGGAUUUGUUUAAGAAUUUUUCUCUUUUUUGGUGAGGAAGAUUUACCCUGAGCUAACAUCUGUGCCAGUCUUCCUCUAUAUUGUAUGUGCAUUGCUGCCACAGCAUGGCUGACAAGUGGUGUAGGUCCACGCCUGGGAUCCAAACCCAUGAACCGGGGCAGCUGAAGUGGAGUGUGCUGAACUCAACCACUAGGCCACGGGGCUGGCCCUUGUUUGAGAAUUUUUAAAAGAUAAUAUUCAUAAGAUGGGUUAUUUGUGUCUACGUAGAAUGCCUUCCCUCUCCCUCUGAUAACAGUUCACUUCUACUUAGAUCAUGUCUGUGAUAUGAGGGGCUGCCAAUCAAGUAGGAACUGGUUGCUCUACAGAAACCCAGCUCCACUCUCCUCGAAGCAAGGACCUGCAGAUGACCUGAACCGGGCCAAUCAGGGCAUAGCUUUGAAUCGUUGAAGUCCAAGCUGAAGCUUUCUGGUAGUGAAGGUGAGAAAAUGCAGACUCAGAAGCUUCUGGCAGCUGGGGUCCUAGCUUCUCGGAGAAUCCUGAUUAGCAGUAAGAGAAGACAUGGAUAAAGGCGAGGUAUUCCAUGAUGCCCUGAAGGACCAGGCUGGAGAACCAUGCUGGGGACAGGCCACGGUAUUUUUAAGACUACAGAAAACACAUUUAAGAAAUUGAAAAAGAAAGUGGAGGAGAGAAAAGAUGGGGAAUGGAGAACCCCUGACUCAAGGAGGUAACUGACUAACCAGAAGCCUACAGAUCCUUUCGAGAGAGCCUGUGACGCAGUCCUUGAACAAAAAGGAUGAGUUAAGCCCCGGGUUGCUGUCUGCUCUGUAGCACCAUCUGCUGGUCAAUCUCCGCGCUUUGUCAGUCCGGGUGGGGAAGUGGCCUUUUCUGCUCAAGACAAAGGUCCCACCUGACUUCAGUUUUAACACACCUUAUGUGAGCCAC
ensembl:lncRNA